rnacentral:piRNA from 1 species
UACAGCUCCCGUGUCUGGGAAGAAGC